UACGAAGGGGCUAGCGUUGCUCGGAAUCACUGGGCGUAAAGCGCACGUAGGCGGACUCUUAAGUCGGUGGUGAAAUCCUGGAGCUCAACUCCAGAACUGCCUUCGAUACUGAGAGUCUCGAGUCCGGGAGAGGUGAGUGGAACUGCGAGUGUAGAGGUGAAAUUCGUAGAUAUUCGCAAGAACACCAGUGGCGAAGGCGGCUCACUGGCCCGGUACUGACGCUGAGGUGGCGAAAGCG
rnacentral:rRNA from 1 species